GCCAAACAUUUGAGUUUUUAAAACAUGUCGACCUAUAUGCAAAAGUUAACACGCUAUAAUUUGUGGGAAUUUAAGUGUUCUUAGGUUUCAGGAGGUUCAAAAAUAUUAUUUCCAUAUUAAAAAUGUUUACUAAGUAGCGCACAAAUGCCAGUUUUCCAGUAAAAGUAGAAGAGUCCACUAAAAAUGUUUUUGUGAAAAAAUACGUUGUAACACCACAACUUUGUUAUGCUAAUGAAGCACCAAAUUCAAACUCAAAUUCAAUGACAUCAUUUGCUGUAAAUAAUAAUGUCUUUGUUCAGAUCUUUAGCGCCACCUUAGUGGAUCCCUGGAGCUUUUUCAAAAAUGUAUGAAAACCGAAAAAGAUGAGGGGAAAAAAUAUGUUUUUUGUUUUAAUAUGGUUUCUGUAGGAGGACAAACAUGAUACAAACCUUCUUAAUUGUUAGAAAUCCCACUGUUUAUAUCAAGCAUGCUUCACUGAUUUGGCGAGAGCCAUUUGUCCUACUAAUUUCGACGGUCCCUGAACUCACCUUAGUUUGAUUGCAUGUACUACGUUCUUUGACGCUCCCACAGAAAGACGUGUUUCAUGCCACUCCUUUUUUGUCGAAUUUUGUCCACCAAACUUGUUAUGCUGUGCGUGAAUGCACAAAGGUCACUUCUUCAUGUGGGAAACGAGAGAUGAGAGGCUGGGGGUCAAUCUGGACUAAGCCCUGCUGGUGCCAGUGGACUCCCCGCUCCCCCCCCUUCCCCUUUCUCCUCCCACCACCACCGGCCCCUCCGACGGAGAUGACAUCACCGCCUGUCGACGAGGACGACUUGACGUCCGUCUUGGGCUGUGAGUUGGUGUGGAGGUUAGCGAGGUGACUUGUCAGACAGCACAUCACUGAUGUCAUCCCCUGCUGACCUCACGUGAACUCUGCAGAGCGUUCAACGAGUAGAGUGCAGCGCCCUCUUGUGGACAAAAGCGCUUCAACCUCAGUCUGCGUUGUCUCAUGGACACCCUCAUGGACAUGGUGAUGGCCGGGACACAUCCUCUCAGGAAGAAGUCCACCAGGGGGAGACAGAGGCACUCACCAUAGUUCCUUGCCUUUAUGCAGAUCCUCUGCUGUGAAGUCCAAAGUGUUGUUACCUUCGACCCAGAUGGAAAGCCAUGAGAUCCAGUGAGAACCAGAUACCUGCCUGGUCCUCAGUGGACGACACCGCUGACCUCCUGUCGAAAAAAA